ACGCCGCGCGCGGCUUUCUUUGCCUUUCAACGCACGACACUGACCAUCCCUGUGUCUCUUGAAAAAUUCAACGAAUCCAGCGGAACGAUCCUGGCUCACGGUUAAUUGGCCUCCGACACUCCAUUUCGCAAAUUGCAAAAAGCAAUGCCAGGAUACUGUUGUACGUAGGUGCUGGCGUCGAGUGGCUGCAGUUGUUACUGGAAAAUCGCUGGGACGGACGAAAGGAAUUCGAACGAUGGACGCGCUUACGCGUGUGACCAAGUGCAUCGUGCAGGGAAUCAGAAAUUAAGUCUGCUGGCAUGGCUGAUGUUGAACAAUUGUUAGUUUCGUUGGAAACACGGAAUUCUCUGUUUUCAUCUCUUCCGAACAACUUCCUGACAAAGUGGCUCGUUCUCAAGUGGAACGCAGUCGACGGCAACGUGUCCGAAAACACGAGGCAAACGUUGUGUCUGGCGAGCGGAAGGCACGCGUCUCCUUCGGCUUCGUAAUCUAAGCGGAGAGCGAACAGUGCCUAAUUCUCGUCCAAUUUUCAGCGUAGGGAAACCGGUUAACGGCACGACGCAACUCGUAGUAUUCGCUGAAACGAGUUUCGAUAAAGUUAACGCCGACCAGUACCGGCGACACUCUGCUCAGACGUUUAGAUAAGUUAACUGUCGCUACGAAUACACGAAUAUCCAUGUAUUAACAUAGAUGUAACAGUGUAUUCGUUUUUCAGCUCCUUUGCACGAUUGAGCUAAUAUCAUUAGAGGAAUUUCAUUAGUUUCGAAGUAUUAGCGAAUUCUGUCGUACGAUGCUAAUAACAAAUUCUUUUAUUCUUACUAUGCAAAAUAUAGCGUUUUGUAUAUAUUAUGUUAUCUAAUUUAAAUCAAUAGAAAUAUAUUAACAUACAGAUGUGUUAUUGGUUGAAAAUGUGAAAAUACUAAAUUAUAAAUAGCUUUUGAAAAUAUCAUAUCGAGUAUAAAUUAGUUGGAAUAAAAUGUUCAAUAGAAUUUAUUACGCAAAGGGCUAUUGGUAUCAUUUUCUUAAUUAUCGACUAAUCAGCAAGUUUGUUAUUUAUAUCAUUAAUUUAAAGUCAAGUAAAAAUAUUCAGGUUAUAUCUAUCGAUCAAUCAUUCUGUUACGAUCGUUCGUAAAAUGCACCAAUAAUGUGAAUUAUUUAGCUCGUAACUCGUAAAAUUAUACAAUUAUUUGCACAUCAGAAUUCUACAAGCUACAACGACCAUAUGUACAAUAACUUGUAGAUUCACUGAUAUUAAUAACCACUAAUAUUAUUAUUGAGAUACGUAUAAUUUUAUGUGCUAAACUAAGUUAGAUGCGUAGUAGUGAUACUUGUAUUUGAAUAUCAAUGUGUGGAAGUAUGUGUGUGCGCGGCCUCUCGAAAACAAAUGAAUGUUAACUGUUCAGUCGGAUAUGGAAGAAAAUACUGAGACGCGUGCAAGUGUGUAUCGAUGAAUAUCUUUGAAAUCGCUUAUCAAAUAAAUAU
rnacentral:misc_RNA from 1 species